rnacentral:rRNA from 1 species
AUAUUUGGCCAUACCAACUUGUCAAUUUGUUAAACCCUGAGCUGGUCACAUCUCAGAAGCUACACAAGGUGGGGACUGGUUAGUACUUGGAUGGGAGAUUUUUGGGAGUACCAGGUGCCAUG